GGGGCAUUAGCUCAGCUGGGAGAGCGCCUGGUUCGCAAUCAGGAGGUCAGGGGUUCGAUCCCCCUAUGCUCCACCA
rnacentral:tRNA from 1 species